UGAUGCAACGUCUGGCUGAUGCAACCUCUCCGGGGAAAGUCGCGGCGAAUCUGACAUUAGUUCCAAACUGUUUUAAAUUUCUAACAGGAUCAACGCGACUUGGAGAUGUUAAAUAACCCAAAUCUUUUAUGUGCACCUCCCUGAGGCGCGGCCUUCGUACGUCGGAACUAACGUAUGUACGUUCUAACGUCAAAUGUUUUGACACACGACGAAUGAGAAAAGUUCGCAACGACAAAAGGCCCUGCACCAGACACGAUUGCGAAAGGUAAUUUUGCAGAAAUAGCGCGGCGCAACUGCGUAAUCUUGCUUUCAUUUCCGUCCGGCCGUUAACCAUAAAGCUUGUGUAUUUCUAAAUGAUUACGCCGAGCUGCAAAACUGGCACGUACAUAUACGAAAAGCACGUAAAACACUCGGUAUUGUUAUCGCGAUCCCAUUGCACUACGCACUAUUAACACAAGAAGGCUGCAAUUUUAUCUUAUCGCGCGAUUACGAACACACUAAUGGUACUGCUCGCGGAAUGAUUUAAUUGUCGGAGAACGACAGAAACUAUCGUUUUCCACGUCGCGUGGAACAAUAAACACGGGAUGUGAAAUAAUAAACAGAAAUAGUGAAUCGUUUCGAGACGCUUGGGUAAUUUAAGAGACCUUUGUGUCAUGGAAUUAUUAUUAGAUCGUUUACUUAGCUAGUCUACGAUCAAAUAUACUCGAUGGUGUGAGUCUAUUUAGGAAAUGCAAACGUAACGAAUUAUAUUGCUCGUCUGUCACUGACUGGUUUGCUACGCUGCUACUAAGGGUUCAACUAAAGAAAUAAUUGUAAAUGGAGUAAGGUCAACUGGAACUCUUACCGGCUCGGUAAGAGUUCUACUGACCUAGACUGGUCUAAUCCCAGCUAGAACAACGAAGACUCGUUAAAAGUUAGGGAAAAUCAAUCAAGACCACGCUGACUCGGUUGAAGCCUCAUCGAUCCACCUAGAUCUAAUCCAUGCCUAACCUGAACUCUCGAAGGAUCUAAACCAGAUCCAACUUGUAACGAGUUCCGGGAACACUUGCCGAGUUCAAACAGCACCGAUUGACUUGGUAUAUACAUGUCAUGAUAAUUUCAAAGGGCUUUGAGGGAUUAGCAAGAUCUAAUCUAAUGGAAGACUCGUGUUCCGUGUACUUGCCUGUCAGAUAAUACAAGCUUCGCCGGCCUCAAAUUAAUUUUAAUGAAUUUCGCGAAACGAACAUCCACGAUAUCAAAAAUAAUUCACUGAAUUUUUUUGCGUAACAUAACAUCCGAAUA